GUAAGGAAUAUUGGUCAAUGGGCGCAAGCCUGAACCAGCCAUGCCGCGUGCAGGAAGACGGCCCUAUGGGUUGUAAACUGCUUUUAUACCGGAAUAAACCUGUUUACGUGUAGACAGUUGAAUGUACGGUAGGAAUAAGGAUCGGCUAACUCCGUGCCAGCAGCCGCGGUAAUACGGAGGAUCCAAGCGUUAUCCGGAUUUAUUGGGUUUAAAGGGUGCGUAGGCGGCCUGUUAAGUCAGGGGUGAAAGACGGUGGCUCAACCAUCGCAGUGCCUUUGAUACUGACGGGCUUGAAUGCAGCUGAGGUAGGCGGAAUGUGACAAGUAGCGGUGAAAUGCAUAGAUAUGUCACAGAACACCAAUUGCGAAGGCAGCUUACUAAAGUGUGAUUGACGCUGAGGCACGAAAGCGUGGGGAUCAAACAGG
rnacentral:rRNA from 1 species